GAAUUAGAAGCAAAAAUGUAAUUAGUUUCGACCUAAUCCUUGGUAUUAACUUACCCUAAUUCU
rnacentral:tRNA from 1 species